rnacentral:rRNA from 1 species
AAAUUGAAGAGUUUGAUCAUGGCUCAGAUUGAACGCUGGCGGCAGGCCUAACACAUGCAAGUCGAACGGUAACAGGAAGCAGCUUGCUGCUUUGCUGACGAGUGGCGGACGGGUGAGUAAUGUCUGGGAAACUGCCUGAUGGAGGGGGAUAACUACUGGAAACGGUGGCUAAUACCGCAUAACGUCGCAAGACCAAAGAGGGGGACCUUCGGGCCUCUUGCCAUCAGAUGUGCCCAGAUGGGAUUAGCUUGUUGGUGAGGUAACGGCUCACCAAGGCGACGAUCCCUAGCUGGUCUGAGAGGAUGACCAGCCACACUGGAACUGAGACACGGUCCAGACUCCUACGGGAGGCAGCAGUGGGGAAUAUUGCACAAUGGGCGCAAGCCUGAUGCAGCCAUGCCGCGUGUAUGAAGAAGGCCUUCGGGUUGUAAAGUACUUUCAGCGGGGAGGAAGGUGUUGUGGUUAAUAACCGCAGCAAUUGACGUUACCCGCAGAAGAAGCACCGGCUAACUCCGUGCCAGCAGCCGCGGUAAUACGGAGGGUGCAAGCGUUAAUCGGAAUUACUGGGCGUAAAGCGCACGCAGGCGGUCUGUCAAGUCGGAUGUGAAAUCCCCGGGCUCAACCUGGGAACUGCAUUCGAAACUGGCAGGCUUGAGUCUUGUAGAGGGGGGUAGAAUUCCAGGUGUAGCGGUGAAAUGCGUAGAGAUCUGGAGGAAUACCGGUGGCGAAGGCGGCCCCCUGGACAAAGACUGACGCUCAGGUGCGAAAGCGUGGGGAGCAAACAGGAUUAGAUACCCUGGUAGUCCACGCCGUAAACGAUGUCUACUUGGAGGUUGUGCCCUUGAGGCGUGGCUUCCGGAGCUAACGCGUUAAGUAGACCGCCUGGGGAGUACGGCCGCAAGGUUAAAACUCAAAUGAAUUGACGGGGGCCCGCACAAGCGGUGGAGCAUGUGGUUUAAUUCGAUGCAACGCGAAGAACCUUACCUGGUCUUGACAUCCACGGAAGAAUUCAGAGAUGGAUUUGUGCCUUCGGGAACCGUGAGACAGGUGCUGCAUGGCUGUCGUCAGCUCGUGUUGUGAAAUGUUGGGUUAAGUCCCGCAACGAGCGCAACCCUUAUCCUUUGUUGCCAGCG